AUUGAACGCUGGCGGCAGGCCUAACACAUGCAAGUCGAGCGGAUGAAGGGAGCUUGCUCCUGGAUUCAGCGGCGGACGGGUGAGUAAUGCAUAGGAAUCUGCCUGGUAGUGGGGGGUAACGUCCGGAAACGGGCGCUAAUACCGCAUACGUCCUGAGGGAGAAAGUGGGGGAUCUUCGGACCUCACGCUAUCAGAUGAGCCUAGGUCGGAUUAGCUAGUUGGUGGGGUAAAGGCCUACCAAGGCGACGAUCCGUAACUGGUCUGAGAGGGUGAUCAGUCACACUGGAACUGAGACACGGUCCAGACUCCUACGGGAGGCAGCAGUGGGGAAUAUUGGACAAUGGGCGAAAGCCUGAUCCAGCCAUGCCGCGUGUGUGAAGAAGGUCUUCGGAUUGUAAAGCACUUUAAGUUGGGAGGAAGGGCAGUAAGUUAAUACCUUGCUGUUUUGACGUUACCAACAGAAUAAGCACCGGCUAACUUCGUG
rnacentral:rRNA from 1 species